rnacentral:tRNA from 1 species
GCCCAGAUAGUAUAGCCCGGUCUAGUAAGGAUGAAAUUUCUUCAUCCCUAGAAUACCCGGCUGUCACCCGGGCGACCCGGGUUCAAAUCCCGGUCUGGGCG